rnacentral:rRNA from 1 species
GACGAACGCUGGCGGCGUGCUUAACACAUGCAAGUCGAACGGAAAGGCUCCAGCUUGCUGGAGUGCUCGAGUGGCGAACGGGUGAGUAACACGUGGGCAAUCUGCCCUGCACUCUGGGAUAAGCCUGGGAAACUGGGGCUAAUACCGGAUAGGACCUUUCUCCUCAUGGGGGUUGGUGGAAAGUUUUUCGGUGCAGGAUGAGCCCGCGGCCUAUCAGCUUGUUGGUGGGGUAAUGGCCUACCAAGGCGACGACGGGUAGCCGGCCUGAGAGGGUGAUCGGCCACAUUGGGACUGAGAUACGGCCCAGACUCCUACGGGAGGCAGCAGUGGGGAAUAUUGCACAAUGGGCGAAAGCCUGAUGCAGCGACGCCGCGUGAGGGAUGACGGCCUUCGGGUUGUAAACCUCUUUCAGUAGGGACGAAGCGCAAGUGACGGUACCUGCAGAAGAAGCACCGGCUAACUACGUG